GUUUUUCUUCGGACCCUAUCGAGGCACACAGACCAUGGGGAUUCUGUCCGUGGUGACAGCCUUAACAUUUGCCAGAGCCCUGGACGCCGCUGCACAAAUGGCAUUGCCCACCCUGGAAGUGAGAAGAUGAAAACAGUGAAGCUCAGAGGGGGCGAGAUGGCCGGGAGCCGGGGGUGUUCAGCCUCUGGGUUGCAGGGGCAGCCAUCAAGAGGGAGGCACUCUUCUUGUCCCCCAGUUACAGGUGAGAACUAAGCACAGCAAGAGGUAAGUAGUCGCCUGGGUUCACAAGCUCCUGGUGAACAACGGUGUCUGGGUUUCGAAGCCAGACAGUCCUUCUCUGGACCACGUAUCCC